rnacentral:rRNA from 1 species
GUCGUAAACAGGUUUUCGUUGGUGAACCAGCGGAGGGAUCAUUACCGAGUUUACAACUCCCAAACCCCUGUGAACAUACCAUUUGUUGCCUCGGCGGUGCCUGCUUCGGCAGCCCGCCAGAGGACCCAAACCCUUGAUUUUAUACAGUAUCUUCUGAGUAAAUGAUUAAAUAAAUCAAAACUUUCAACAACGGAUCUCUUGGUUCUGGCAUCGAUGAAGAACGCAGCGAAAUGCGAUAAGUAAUGUGAAUUGCAGAAUUCAGUGAAUCAUCGAAUCUUUGAACGCACAUUGCGCCCGCCAGUAUUCUGGCGGGCAUGCCUGUUCGAGCGUCAUUUCAACCCUCAAGCCCCCGGGCUUGGUGUUGGAGAUCGGCGUGCCCCCCGGGGCGCGCCGGCUCCCAAAUAUAGUGGCGGUCUCGCUGUAGCUUCCUCUGCGUAGUAGCACACCUCGCACUGGAAAACAGCGUGGCCACGCCGUUAAACCCCCCACUUCUGAAAGGUUGACCUCGGAUCAGGUAGAAUACCCGCUGAACUUAAGCAUAUCAAUAACGACGGAAGUAUAUUUGGGAGCCGGCGCGCCCCGGGGCCGCCGAUCUUCAAACAAGCCCGGGGCCUGAGGUUGAAUGACGCUCGACAGGCAUGCCGCAGAUACUGCGGGCGCCAUGUGCGGUUCAAAGAUUCGAUGAUUCACUGAAAUUCUGCAAUUUCACAUUUACUUAUUCGCAUUUCCGCCUGC